UGGGGAAUAUUGCGCAAUGGGCGGAAGCCUGACGCAGCGACGCCGCGUGGGGGAUGACGGCCUUCGGGUUGUAAACCUCUUUCGCCAGGGACGAAGCCGUGAGGUGACGGUACCUGGAUAAGAAGCACCGGCCAACUACGUGCCAGCAGCCGCGGUAACACGUAGGGUGCGAGCGUUGUCCGGAAUUAUUGGGCGUAAAGAGCUCGUAGGCGGUGUGUCGCGUCGGCCGUGAAAACCUACAGCUUAACUGUGGGCGUGCGGUCGAUACGGGCAUCACUUGAGUUCGGCAGGGGAGACUGGAAUUCCUGGUGUAGCGGUGAAAUGCGCAGAUAUCAGGAGGAACACCGGUGGCGAAGGCGGGUCUCUGGGCCGAUACUGACGCUGAGGAGCGAAAGCGUGGGGAGCGAACAGGAUUAGAUACCCCCGUAGUCC
rnacentral:rRNA from 1 species